rnacentral:rRNA from 1 species
ACGCCAUAGAGGGGGAGAGCCCCGUCUGGUUGGAUGCCAAAUCUCUGUAAAGCUCCUUCGACGAUUCCAGAAAUUUGGGAAUGCUGCUCUAAAUGGGAGGUAUAUGUCUUCUAAAGCUAAAUACCGGCCAAAGACCGAUAGCGCCCAAGUACAGUGAUCGAAAGAUGAAAAGCACUUUGAAAAGAUAGUUAAAAAGUACGUGAAAUUGUUGAAAGGGAAUCGUUUAUGACCAGACUUGGGCUUGGUGAAUCAUCUGGGGUUCUCCCCAGUGCACUUUUCCGGGUCCUGCCAGCAUCAAUUUUCCCCGGGGGAUAAAGGCUUCAGGAAUGUAGCUCUCUUCGGGGAGUGUUAUAACCCGUUGUGUAAUACUCUGGUGGAGACUGAGGUUCGCGCUUCUGCAAGGAUGCUGUUGUAAUGGUCAUCAUCGACCCGUCUUCAAACACGACCAAAGAGUCGUCUUCGUAUGCGAGUGUUCGGGUGUCAAACCCCUACGCGAAAGAAAGUGAACGCGGAGAGAGCUUCGGCGCAUCAUCGACCGAUCCUGAUGUUCUCGGAUGGAUUUGAGUAAGAGCAUACGGGGCCGGACCCGAAAGAAGGUGAACUAUGCCUGUAUAGGGUGAAGCCAGAGGAAACUCUGGUGGAGGCUCGCAGCGGUUCUGACGUGCAAAUCGAUCGUCAAAUAUGGGCAUGGGGGCGAAAGACUAAUCGAGCCUUCUAGUAGCUGGUUUCCGCCGAAGUUUCCCUCAGGAUAGCAGUGUUGAACUCAGUUUUAUGAGGUAAAGCGAAUGAUUAGGGACUCGGGGGCGCUAUAUAGCCUUCAUCCAUUCUCAAACUUUAAAUAUGUAAGAAGCCCUUGUUGCUUAAUUGAACGUGGGCAUUCGAAUGUAUCAACCCUAGUGGGCCAUUUUUGGUAAGCAGAACUGGCGAUGCGGGAUGAACCGAACGCGAGGUUAAGGUGCCAGAGUUCACGCUCAUCAGACACCACAAAAGGUGUUAGUACAUCUUGACAGCAGGCCGGUGGCCAUGGAAGUCGGAAUCCGCUAAGGACUGUGUAACAACUCACCUGCCGAAUGUACUAACCCUGAAAAUGGAUGGCGCUCAAGCGUCUCACCCAUACCUCGCCCUCAGGGUAGAAACGAUGCCCUGAGGAGUAGGCGGACGUGGAGGUC